UACGUAGGUGGCAAGCGUUGUCCGGAUUUACUGGGCGUAAAGAGCGCGCAGGCGGUCGUUCAAGUCGCGUGUGAAAGCCCCCGGCUCAACUGGGGAGGGUCACGCGAUACUGAUCGACUGGAAGGCAGGAGAGGGUAGUGGAAUUCCCGGUGUAGUGGUGAAAUGCGUAGAGAUCGGGAGGAACACCAGUGGCGCAAGCGGCCCCCAAGCCUGAACCUGACACUGAAGCGCGACAGCGUGGGGAGCAAACGGG
rnacentral:rRNA from 1 species